UCCCGACUGCAAGGAAGGGAUGUAUUUAUUAGAUAAAAAAUCAAUGCAGGCAACUGCUUCAUUGGUGAUUCAUAGUAACUGAUCGAAUCGCAUGGCUCUAAGCUGGCGAUAGUUCAUUCAAAUUUCUGCCCUAUCAGCUUCGACGGUAGUGUAGUGGACUACCGUGGCAUUAACGGGUGACGGAGAAUUAGGGUUCGAUUCCGGAGAGGGAGCCUGAGAAACGGCUACCACAUCCAAGGAAGGCAGCAGGUGCGCAAAUUACCCAAUCCUGACACAGGGAGGUAGUGACAAGAAAUAACAAUACCGGGCCUUUCCAGGUCUGGUAAUUGGAAUGAGUACAAUUUAAAUCCCUUAACAAGGAUCCAUUGGAGGGCAAGUCUGGUGCCAGCAGCCGCGGUAAUUCCAGCUCCAAUAGCGUAUAUUAAUGUUGCUGCAGUUAAAAAGCUCGUAGUUGGAUUUCUGACUUGGCGCACCCGGCCCGCCACGGUUUCGUGUGUGAGUGCCGGGAUGCGCCUGUCACUUUUCUGGUAAACCAUUGUGCUCUUCAUUGAGUGUGGUGGGUAGCCAGAUAUUUUACUUUGAAAAAAUUAGAGUGUUUAAAGCAAGCGUUUGCUAUGAAUACAUUAGCAUGGAAUAAUAAGUUAGGACUUCGGUUCUAUUUUGUUGGUUUCUAGGACUGAAGUAAUGAUUGAUAGGGAUAGUUGGGGGUGCUAGUAUUCAGCGGCCAGAGGUGAAAUUCUCGGAUUCGCUGAAGACUAACUUAUGCGAAAGCAUUCACCAAGGAUGUCUUCUUUAAUCAAGAACGAAAGUUGGGGGAUCGAAGACGAUCAGAUACCGUCGUAGUCUCAACCUUAAACUAUGCCGACUAGGGAUUGGUCAACGUUGUAUUCUCGACUUGAUCAGCACCUUAUGAGAAAUCAAAGUCCUUGGGUUCCGGGGGGAGUAUGGUCGCAAGGCUGAAACUUAAAGGAAUUGACGGAAGGGCACCACCAGGAGUGGAGCCUGCGGCUUAAUUUGACCCAACACGGGGAAACUUACCAGGUCCAGACUCAGUGAGGAUUGACAGAUUGAAGAUCUUUCUUGAUUUUGAGGGUGGUGGUGCAUGGCCGUUCUUAGUUGGUGGAGCGAUUUGUCUGGUUUAUUCCGUUAACGAACGAGACCACGACCUGCUAAAUAGUUCGGUCUAGGGUUCGCUCUAGAUACGUGACUUCUUAGAGGGACUAUCGGUGUGUAGCCGAUGGAA
rnacentral:rRNA from 1 species